rnacentral:rRNA from 1 species
CGUGUAGGCGGUCAGGUAGGUCGGUUGUGAAAACUGGAGGCUCAACCUUCAGAGGUCGACCGAAACCCCCUGGCUAGAGUCCGGGAGAGGAGAGUGGAAUUCCUGGUGUAGCGGUGAAAUGCGCAGAUAUCAGGAAGAACACCCGUGGCGAAAGCGGCUCUCUGGAACGGUACUGACGCUGAGACGCGAAAGCGUGGGGAGCGAACAG